AGCAGCCGCGGUAAUUCCAGCUCCAAUAGCGUAUAUUAAAGUUGUUGCAGUUAAAAAGCUCGUAGUUGAAUUUCGGGGUCAAUAAGUUGGUCGUGCCAAUGGUAUGUACUGGCUUUAUUGAUUCCUACCUCUUGACGAACUGUGAUGCCAUUAAUUUGGUGUUGCAGGAAAUCAGGACUGUUACCUUGAAAAAAUUAGAGUGUUUAAAGCAGGCUUACGCUUGAAUACAUUAGCAUGGAAUAAUGAAAUAGGACGUUUGAACCUAUUUUGUUGGUUUCUAGGAUCGACGUAAUGAUUAAUAGGGAUAGUUGGGGGCAUUAGUAUUCAAUUGUCAGAGGUGAAAUUCUUGGAUUUAUUGAAGACUAACUACUGCGAAAGCAUUUGCCAAGGAUGUUUUCAUUAAUCAAGAACGAAAGUUAGGGGAUCGAAGACGAUCAGAUACCGUCGUAGUCUUAACCAUAAACUAUGCCGACUA
rnacentral:rRNA from 1 species